GACGAACGCUGGCGGCGUGCCUAAUACAUGCAAGUAGAACGCACAGUUUAUACCGUAGCUUGCUACACCAUAAACUGUGAGUUGCGAACGGGUGAGUAACGCGUAGGUAACCCGCCUGGUAGCGGGGGAUAACUAUUGGAAACGAUAGCUAAUACCGCAUAAUAUUGAUUAUUGCAUGAUAAUUGAUUGAAAGAUGCUAUUGCAUCACUACCAGAUGGACCUGCGUUGUAUUAGCUAGUAGGUGAGGUAACGGCUCACCUAGGCGACGAUACAUAGCCGACCUGAGAGGGUGAUCGGCCACACUGGGACUGAGACACGGCCCAGACUCCUACGGGAGGCAGCAGUAGGGAAUCUUCGGCAAUGGACGAAAGUCUGACCGAGCAACGCCGCGUGAGUGAAGAAGGUUUUCGGAUCGUAAAGCUCUGUUGUAAGAGAAGAACGGGUGUGAGAGUGGAAAGUUCACACUGUGACGGUAUCUUACCAGAAAGGGACGGCUAACUACGUG
rnacentral:rRNA from 1 species